AUCAGGUGCAGAGGAGCAGGCACCAUCCUAAUCUGAAAUUGCUCAUUUGCUUGAAAAGUUAAGCAAUCUCUAACUAUAGAAGGGCUAUUCACGCUAAUUACACUGCUGUUAUAGAAAUAAUUAAGCAGCAAUUCAUUGCAGGUGCAGUAUCGUUGUAGGAAUAACAUUACUAACAGGGGCAGAGCAGAGGUGCAGUAGGAGAAAUGUGCCAUUAGGUGUGCCAUUGGUGAAGGCGCUGAAAAGACCUCAGCAGGCUGAUGGGCUACAGAAAGCCACUGUGGCCAGAUUUCCAUGAUAGGAGUAUUCAAGCCCUCUGCUGGGCACACUGGGGAAUACUGGCCUGAUGCUUGGCCACAAGCAAGCAGCUGGGGAAAGCAAGCAAACUUGCACCAACCCCAGGUGGUUGCUAGAGGCAGGUAAGCUGCUGGGAACUGGGUGUUUGGGAGUGGUACUAAACAAAAAACGAUGUGAGAUUUAAGUUUUUCAUGGUUGUAGUUUAACUGAAGCUCAGGCUCCUGAAAAGAAGCAGCAUAAGCAUCAGUUAGUUAACCCAAUAAAAGGAAAGGUAUUUUUUUCUUAAGGAAGAAAUUCUUUACUGUGAGAGUGGUGAGACACACUGGAACAGGUUGCCCAAUGAGGCUCUGAAUGCCACCUUGCUGGAAGCAUUCAAGGCCAGGCUGGAUGGGGCUUUGAGCAACCUGGUCUAGAGCGAGGUGUCCCUGCCUAUAGCGGGGGAUUGGAACUAAGUGAGCUUAAAGGUCCCUUCCAACCCAAACCAUUCUAUGAUUCUUAAAAAUGGGGGCAGUGGGGGAACCAUUUAUUAAUUUCCCUGCUAGGCACAUAAGAUGUGGGGAAAAUAAGCUUUCUCAGUUUGCACAUUAGUCAUCAGAAGUGUUGGUGGCACUUUUCCCACCACUCUAGUUGAAGGCUCAUCCCUUCGUACACUGCUGCUUUAGUAGAUUAAAAUGUAGUCAUCAAUGCCAGCUUGUACAUAAACCUUAAUAGUCAGAGAUCAGGCUAAGAACUAUCAUUGCUGUUUUUUGUUAAAUCAAUUUAAAAUAUUAGAUCCAUAAAAGCUUUAAGAAAGGGCUAUGGUGGUUUUAUCUGCUGCCUGUAUUGCUAACUCUGAGAACCACUGGGCUUUUUGCUUUGCUAAUGACUAAUUUUUCUAGCAUUUAAGGCUGGAAUUUGCUCUUCAGACCAACCGCAUCCUUGCUGUAGUGCCACCGACUUCAAGUGAAAAAAACAGCAACUAACUGGCCUCACAAUUCCUUCUAAUUUUUAUUCUUUUUAUGUAUUGUGUACAGUGCUUGUCUAAAAGGAGCAGCAAUUAUUUUGCUUUCUACAGUUUGUCUACAAAAUCUGUACAAAGAAGGGUUCAUCAGCAAUUUCUGGCAGGCUGGCGAGAGGUGGAGUUUAUGGAAGAGGAGAUCAGCUCAAAGCCACCCAGCUCCCACCCCGGGAGUUCAGCAGGAGCAAGUAAAUCAUUUCCCCAGGCAAUAAUUCCAUAGCCUGCAUGGGAAGCAGCUGACUGUGCCAGAGUCCUGAAGUGCCUGGACUGAGGUAUGUUCACAAAGUGCUUUAGUGACAGAAGAACUCUGGACAAUGCACAUCUUUUGGUCCCAGUUUGUUAAAAGAACUUGGUUGCUGUCUGAACCAAGGCUGCCAGAUAAGUUACAGCAGCAGCAAAGAGAAAAAGACUUGUAGCUUGUUUAAGCAUUAUCACUGUGUAAACGAGGUGUUCCUUACUGAUCAAGUAGGUUAAAACACGCAUGUAUUUGUGUUCUAAGGGCAACACCUCUUUUUGUGGCAGAAAUAGAUUACUUUUCUAUUGGAGUCAAUGCUGCUUUCCAGUUUCAAGCCACUGGGACGGCUGCUUAAUUCAGAUGUCUCUUCACACAGGGAAGGGACCAAAUUGGAUGUUUCUCAUGGCCCAGCAGUAUGCGAGCAGUGCGCUCUAAGCUGCUUUAGCUCAAAGCGAUUAUGUAAGUUAACCUGUGCAAGCUGUUUUCUAUAAAAGGAACAAGUGGUAUUUUUAGCAGGCUUUAUGGAGUUGCUUGGCAAGGGGAAGAAACAGGAGAUGCCUCAGCACCUGAUCCAGCCCCUGUCACCACCACAGUGACUACGAUCACUGGGUUUGGAUGUGAGAGGGUGCAUCCAUGUUACUGGACCCGUUCUUAAUAAUCUUUCCUAAUGCCAGUUUUUAUUCAGCUUCCUGUGCCAUUGAGCAUUUUCUGCAUCCCUAACUGGCCUUCAGCAGGGUCAGAGGGGCUCCCUGUGCUCUGUUAGAGAGAUCCUGGGGAGAUCCUACCUCCCUCAGCACCUUGCUGACCAUGGUUUGCUCUUACCUCUUAGUAAGGAAGGACACCUACCCCACAUGCACAAAAAAACAAAACAAAACAAAACAAAAAAAAAACAAGGGGGAAAAAAACCAACUUGUAUUAGGCUGGGAUUUGUAGCUGUCUUCCUUUUUGUUACUACCUAGUGUGCAUUUACCUAUUUUUCCCCAUUUUCAUAACAGGAACAUGCUGACUCCUGCAGAGAAUGGUUGUCUGGAAAUAACCAUUGUCUUCAGGCUCAAGUUCUAUUCUAAUUUGAGGCACAACUUUUACUGGAGUUCGUGGAGGGCUGCGAAGAAAAAGAAGACAAGGUAGGUAAGUGUAUGGACUAACGUCAUGUAUUUCAGUAAUGCUUGAUGCGCUCUGCAGCGCUCAGCUGAAUUCUGAAGAGUGCAUUUUCUGAGGGAUCAGUUCCUGAAAAACUGUGCAACUCCAAGAUGAAAAGAUAUAAACAAAACAGAGUGGCAGCUGGUUCACACCUCAAAAACUGCAGAUCCUAGUACUUACUGGGCACAGCAUGCUGUCACAUCUAGAAAUGGAAAAAAUGCUCAACUCCCAAUACCAAGUGUAUCAGCACAGACCAGUGCAACACAGCUUUCUGAAACUGGAGCUUACAGACACCAAAUAAAUAACUCAGAUGGGAACUGGUAAUAGAAAGCUCUCUUUGCUACCAGAACUUAUUGAUAGGCCUGUGCAUCACGUAAUAUUAUUUAAAUGAAUUGGUCCAAACACUGCUCAUGUCAGGGACUAAGCCUACUGAUUUUGUUAACAGAGGAGCUCCACAUACCCAGAACUUGUGCUUCACACAACUAGCUGCCUGUUCAUAUAUUUUUAAGUCAUUUAAUUUUUUCCCAUGUGGACAUGUUUUUCUAGACUUUUCCCAGUUGUUCCACAACUUUUUGCUGAUUUGGACCCCAAGACCUACAUGAGUACUGCGGCUGGGGUCUAACAUAAGGCCAGCAGAGUACUUAUGUAAGCUAGUCACUCUCUCCACACUAUAAGGCCAUGCUGGGAACAUAACAACUGCACAUUAGAAAUUCUCUCCAAGUGUUUUCUAAGAGUUUCCUGUAGACAGACAGGGACUUCGCCAUUGUGGUAUUUCGGUGCACUGUGGCACAUACAAAUUGCAUUUUACAAGUACUUACCUUGGCAUAGUGUGUGACUGAAGAAAAGGAAUUUUAUCAGCACGACGUAUGGCGUUCAAGGAAUGUUGGUGAUUUUUCUUCUGUCAGGGAGGAGAGAAAAGAUCUUUUUUGUCAUUGCAUGCAGCACUGAUGGUUUCUUAAACCCAGCAAACUCUCACAUGUAUUUAGCAGUGCUUUUAACUGCUGACUUCCUUCUAUAUUAAUUUCACAGCUGGUAAAUGAACAUAAUAAAGUUAAGUCUCUCCUCCAACAUACAGAAUCUGAACUGCCAAAACAAUGGUGAUUGAUUUGCAGGGACUGCCCUGUGAGCUGCAUUCAGCUGCAUGCUGAAUGCAUGCGUAUGCAGUUGUACAGCCAGGAGCAGUCACUUAGCUGCCACAGAAGAGGCUGCUGAGCUGCUCCAAGUAAACAGCCCAUGGGAAAACUCACUUUGUAUUCACCAGGCCUGCACUGCAGCAUAGCAAAGGGUGUCCACUUCAUGUAUGCUUCCCGGGGGAAGCCACAAGACACUGACUGCAAAGCUGGUCUCAGCCCAGCGUGAGGCACGAGCGUUUAUGUGUCUGUUUUGUGCUUAGAGUUGCCUGACAAAAAGGAGUUGGGAAUCCCUCAAUCAGGGCUUGAGCACACAAAGCCUAGAUGGGAAAUUCCCAAAUUCCAUCUCAGAAAAAUUACUCUGUUUCUUGGCCUCUUUUCAGCACGUUUACAUCUUGAUACUUACCUUUCAUCUACAACUUAAGUUACCCUGUGUUCCCCCACUGUAGCAUCCAAACUCCUUGCAUGAAAACAGGUGGCUUGUUGCCUGUAAUCACAUUCAUUUCCUGACCAGCAUGGUGAAAUGUACUCGUUUUUAAUAAUAAUUCUAUUCUUGCUAUUGCUGAAGGGAAGCUAAAGAGUAAAAAAUGAAUUUUGUGUUUGAACAGAGAAACAGCUGGAAUUCACUUCUCUGCCUUAGUAAUUGAAGGGUAAAUAAUUUGUCAAGCACUCUGAAGAUGCAAAAUAUGCUCAAGUACUGAAUGCUAUUAGUAUUAUUAUUAAUAUACUUUGAGUCUUGGAGCACUGGGUGAGUAGGGUAAGACCAUGAUGUGGAUGGAUUCCAGCUACUUUUGCUAAUACAAGAGCCUGAUUUCUUUUUUUUUUUUUUUUUGCCUUGUUACUAAAUAAAAGCUGACAAAUCAAUUUCUGAUUCAUAAUACUGCACACAUACACAAACAAACAAACUGCUGCUUGGCCCAUGGACGUCUUACCCCAUGUUGUCUGAAAGGGCAAUCCAACAAACAGGUUUGUGGCAGAAGUAUUACCAUUUCCCUAAUUAUUUCAACCCUGAUGAACAGUGUACCCAAUUGUAAGAUCCUGUGCAACAUGUAAGAUGAACUUGGUUUAAGCAUAUCAGGGCAUUUUCACAGAAAAGUGAAGAUGGUCUGUUAGGUUCAAGGUUGUUACACUGAGAGUAUGCAAUUAGUAAAGUAGUUGUCUUUGGCUUUGUUUUAGAAUGUUAAUCUCUUAAGUGUUCAUUUAUCUAAAAACACAAUGCAAUGCUUAGGGUUGCCAAAUGCCACCACCAAAAGCCAAGAUAGUUAAAGACCACCUCCUAAUCACAAAUCCUACUUAAGGAAUCUAAAGAUCAGUGUUUCCAGGUCUUAUUCCUAGAAAUCUUAUCACCAGUAAUGCAGCAGUACUGAUUUACUGUUAUCAUUUGUUCCCAUCUUGUGACAAAACAGCAUAUUUAUCUGAAGACUGAACUCACUGCUCAUAAUAUUGUCAGAAGUCGCUGCAAAGGCAAAAAAGCUCAUGUCAGUUGUUACUUCUUAUUCCUCUCUUAAAAGACUAUGAGAAGUUAAAGUGACUGAAAAUUAAGGCGUAGUUGAGUUGGAGACCUGUAGCUAGCAGUGUUCCCCAAGCACCAGUACAGCAUCUGGUAUUGUUCAACAUCUUCAUCAAUGAUUUGGAAGAAGGGAUACAGUCCACCCUCAGCAAGUUUGUUGAUGAUGCAAUACUGGGAGGAGUGGCUGACAGAUGAGACGUCUGUGAUACCUUUCAGAGAGACCUGGGUGGGCUGGGGAGUUGGGAACCUGAUGAGGGUUCAACAAAGGCAACAGUCCUAUGCAUGGAGAGGAAUAACCAUAUGCACCAGUACAGGUUAGGGGCUGAACUGAUGGAAAGGAGCUAUGCAGAGGACACCCAAGGUGUCCUGGUGGAUUACAGGUUGACCAUGAACCAGGAGUGUGCCCUUGUGGCCAAGAAGGCCAGUGGGACCCUGGGGUGCAUUAAACAGAUCAUGGCCAGCAUGUCAACAGAGGUUCUCCUCCCCCUCUACUCUGCCUUGGUAAAGCCUCAUCUGGAGUACUGUGUCCAGUUCUGGGCUCCCCAGUUCCAGAAAGACAGGGAACUCCUAGAGAGAGUCCAGUGGAGGGCCACAAAAAUGACUGGGGGCCUGGAGCAUCUCCCCUAUGAGAAAGGGCUGAAAGACCUGGGAUUUUCAGUCUGGAGGAGACUAAGAGGAAGAUCUUAUCAAUGCUUAGAAAUCUCUAAAGGGCAGGUGUCAAGAGAAUGGGGCCAAGCUAUUUUUGGUGGUGCCCAGUGACAAGACUAGGGGCAACAGACAAAAACCAGAAUACAGGAAUUUCCACUGAAACAUGAGAAAGAAAUUCUUUACUUUGAGUAUGACAUAGCACUGGAACAGGCUGCCCAGAGAGGCUGUGGUUCCUUCUUUGGAGAUAUUCAAAACCCUCCUGGAAGCUUUCUUGUACAACCUACUGUAAGGGAACAUGCUAUUGCAGGGAGUUUAGACUGGAUGAUCUCUAGCGGUCCCUUCCAACCCCCCUACCAUUCCUUGAUUCCAGGAUAUUAACCUAAGAAAUAGAAAGACACAAUAGCACAAAAGCAAGUCACCUAAGAAGGGAAAUGUGUUAAAGGUCAAAUGAUCACUGCCUUGUCAGUGUAAUGAAUAAUGUGAAUCAAUGACAUGCUUAAUUAUUCUUUCAAAGUGCUGAGUUUUGCAACUGCUUGGAACCUAAGGAAAUAAACAGUAACAGGACAGAAAUGCAGUUCAGAAUGCUGCAAAUCCAGAGCAAUAGACUCAGGAAAAAUAAACGCAAGCCAUCAGCAAAUUUAACAUAAAAUGGCAAAGGUCAGAAAUGGACUGAGUGGAUGGGGGAGUUACAGAGAGGAGGAGAAAGGAAGUUAUCAUGAAACAUAGCUGGACAAAAGCAGUUUAAGCUGGAGGCACCAAAAGAAAUAACACAGAUUUUGGAAAGAAAAAAGAAUACAUAAAAACAAAGCCAAAUACUGUCAUAAAUCAGAGACCUGGAAAUUAAAAACAAACAAAAACCCCACACUUCUGAAACAAUAGAAAAGCUUUAAAAAAAAUUAAUUUAUAUAUAUAUUUUGUACUGCACGUCAGAGUCACGCAGGCAUGCAAGAGGUUAGUUCUACUCACUGUCGGCAGGUUUGCUAUCACUUAGGAAAGGUUCCUGCUCCAUGAUGUCCAUUGGUAUUUUAAUACUUGGGACUUUUUCUGAGUAGGGGCAGUCAGACUGUGAAAGAAACGUGUAAAAGUUCUUAGAAAAUUUCCACUGCUCUCUUACUGUCACCCACAAAUUAAUAUUAUCCUUCACAUAAUUUCUGUAGAAAUCAGGAGAAAAGUAAAAGAAAAAGAAGGAAUUCUGUAGACCAGCUGAUGGCCUCUUGAUUUUAAACUGGAUCCCUCUUGCACCUUACUUUCCCUCUUCACACUAUGGAAGUAAAGCAGACUGAAAGAAUAAUCUUAUCUAAGUAAGCGUUAUCUUUUCCUCUCUCCACCUCACCAGUUCCUAUGCUACUAGUUUAUAAGACACAAUCUGAGUCAGCUUGGGGUUGACUACAGGAAAUAAUGGAUUAAACAUGCAUUUGUUGGCAGAAAUGAUAGGGCACUGGCUCCUGAGAAAUCUCACCAAAAAGUUUCUAUUCUUAUUGUGAUUCCUGUGAAUUAUAGCAGGACAAUCUCUAUAUUUUUUUCUCCCUCCAAACUGUUCUACAAGGAAGUAUCAGGCAGACAAUCUUUAACUUCUGUUGUACAAAGAAAGAGUUUUCCUCUUUCUAUUUGUUACUUAAAUAAAGUCAGAGCUAGUCCCAAUUAUACCCCUGUUUACAAUAAGAUAUUUCAUCAAAUCCAGAAUUCAUGUAAUCACACCACACAGGAGAUAUGGCAGACUGUUCAAGAAGAAUUACAAGCGCAGAGAAAAGCUGUACUUGUUAGCAAGCCUUACUCCAAGAUAGCUUUCUGCUGAAGUCAGCGAGCUUUUGCUCAAAUUAUCAGCACUCUGUGACCACUGAGUCCCCACUGUGUCCCACUGGUUCCAAUAAUAACCCACUUGCUUGUGCUUAGAAGGUGCUGAAUUACUUGGCUUUUAAUUAAUUAAUUAAUUUAUUUAUUUUUAUAAAACAGUUUAUUGUAACCAGAGAAGGGCUGAUACUGUUUGACUUGGCAAAGAAAUUAAGGUGAUACACGCCAAGUGAUAUGUGCCAGAAACGUUAACCUAGCUUUAUUCCUAGAGAGAACGAGACAAAGUAUGAAGUAUAACACUGCACUGGGGGGAAUCUGACCUAAAAGUCAGAGUAGGAAAACAUUACAGAAACCAGAAAAUCGCUCUCCAUGCGUCUUCUUUUUAGCUUGUUUUGUUUGUUUGUUUUUUAAUGUUACAGACAUCCAGUGCAAUGCUGUGUGUACUCCACUAGCAAAAUGUUUCCUCAGAUGUGUGCAUAUAUAUGCACAUUACUUAUUUUUAACAAAGCUAUAUAUAAGCAUAGCUCAAAUAAAUUCUAAAAAGACAUGGAGGCAAUAAAGCCAUACCAGAAUUCCCAUCCAUUUGGAGCUAUGUUGUAAGCGAGCUAAGAGUUGAGUAAUCCAUCCAACAUAUUACUGUUCUGCUGCUAAUAAAUAAAAGAUCUGUGGAAUGGGAGUGCUCAUACUCGAGCUGCUUUAAACUUGACCAUGUAAAAAGAAAAAAAGAGAUAGAGAAAAUGCCUAUGGUUGGCGAAAGUACUCUAAAGGGGAAAAGAGGCUAUCACACAUCACUUCUGAUUCUUAACCUAAAUAUAACGUCCCAGUGUCUUUUUUAACAAUUGGCUGGUGCUUCCUGGAUCAUGCAUUUUGGACAUAAAAUCUGAGACAGAAUUCAACUUUCCACUACACACAAGCUUAGGUAAAUCCAGCAAUUAGUGGUUGUAAUUUUCACCAAGUUACUGAAAAACUUUCUUUGCAGCUCCUUUCUUGCUGUCCCUAACUGCCAGCAAACCCCCAGUGAGAACUAAUAGUAAAUCCUAACUCGUGCUAAAGAGUGGUCUCUGUUAAUGCCAGGUUUUGCUGUGCUUGUUUACAUAACACCACUUGAAUUCACAACGUCCAGCAAUUCUUCUCUCAACUCUUAUCAGUAGAAUGCCUGCAAAACCCCACAGUACUAAUUUUAAUUUUAAAGAGGCAUAUUUCUGGAAUGGAAAGGGUGACAAUAAUCAAACCAAUAACACCAAGUGCUUUAUGUUCAGGAAGCUGGCAAAAGCAAGUGCUGGAAAAAAAAAACAAGAACAAGUUGAGUAAGAACAUUUUGCAUAAAUUCUGUUACCCACGUGAUUGAGUACUGUACCUGAAAGUCUAUGAGGUUUGAAAUACACCAGAUACAGGAGACAUGGCUAGGGAUACUAUACUGCUGGAUUCAGAUCAAUCAUAAUGAAGGAAAUGAGUCAAACCUUUGUUGACUUUUCAGUAUGUACAGCAGGACAUCUUCUUUCACUUUCAGUCAUACAAAUCUACUGAAGGAAACCCUUGACCUUGGCUUUCCACAUGCUGGAGCCAUUGAAAUGAAAAGGGAGGCCUGUGCAAGGAACACCUUUCUACACACAGUAGUACAUAAAUGCGUGUAUCCUGGGGUGAGGUAGCUUGCAGAGGAUGGCACACUAUUGAAACAUCAGUGUCAGAAUUUUUACAUCCUGUUUCACUGGAGUAAUAGAAGAGAAAAAGCAUUUCUUAUGUUGUCUCCCACAGCCGAGAGGGACAACGUGGGAAUGUGCACAUGUGUUUUUCUGUUGAUGUGAUACCGAUAACGUAGAAGUCUUGGAUCUCAUCAGCAUGUUCUUAGGUGAGACCUUUCCUGAUGCUUGAAGCUUCUGCUUUCCCUAUUAGUCAUACAGGCAUGAGCUGAAAGUCUCAGCAGGACCUGUACUGCUAAGAAAUGCGUCCUCAAGAUUUCUUGAUAGAAGAGUGCAGGAACAGAGUAGUCUAGUGGUCAGUGCCUGCUAGGAAGGAAGGGAAAGGGGAGUUUGCUGUCUGAAAUAAGGACUAAUCUUCAGAGCUGGGAUUCAGCCUGAUUUCAUGAGGAGUGGAUCCAAGCUACCUCCUAUGUCACCGCACCCUCACUACAAAAUUCCUAGUUUUGAUUCUUGUAUUUCCUGCAUUAUAGAGCAUACAUUCUCUGAAGAAAGGCCACUGUAUAUUUUUUCACUGGAAUAGCUGGACUUUGUUGCCUCUAACACAGCUGUCACGUAAGGGACUUGAGCUCCAGCGUGUUCUCCAUCUGGGUCGUGGUUGUGUUUUCUGUCCUUCCUACCUUGAGUAAGGCCAGGCAUCAGAAUGAUCUGGAGGAACUCUUGGAGCUGCCAUAUUACACUAGAAGACACAUUAUCUCACUCAUCUGAUUGCAUAAACAGGGCUACUGUGGCAAUUCUGCUCAGUACAGGAAAGAUACAGAUGAUACACAGUAGAAAAAGCAGAAGUGCUGCAGGACUGCUCUGCUGUACUGUCACCUCACAGUGUGGUGGCAGCAGUGCUUCCCACAGCUAACCAUGGCUUGCUUGCACUUUCCUAAGGCUUCACUGCAAAAAAUGCUUCUGGGAAAUAACACUGACCCAGUAGCUCCUUCUUCAGGAAUUUCCUUUUCCUGAGGUCGCUGUUACCCACUUUGCAUCAACCAAAAAGGCCAGGGGGCAAGCAGGCAAACAACUGAGGUUGCUGUUCCUCUGUCGUACCACACAAGACUUCAGAACUUGGGUAUUCCUGGCUGCAGGUUAGUGAGCUAGGUGUGAAUGUACAAGAAUGGGUCAGCUGGCUUUUCCUCCCAAGGCAUAAUGCCUUCUCAUUUUAUUUCUCCAGCUCUGUAUCGAUGUGGUAUUUUCCAGCCCCAGGUGAUCUUUGUCUAAAUCACAUGAAAAGUCUUUCUUCAUUAACUCUGGAAAUUACACAAGCAGAACUUCUGACGCUAUGUCAGUGUUCUCCAUGUAGCUCAUAAUUAAUGAAGCUUAGCUCCCUUGGUACACAGUCAUCCAGCAAAAAAUGAUGCAGACUGAGGCAACCAGCUUUCUGAAGGAAGUUCACAUUUAUAUAUGAAGUGCUCUGUAAUCAGUGUGUUCACCACUUUCAUUUAAGUUUAUAGAAUUUGAGUUCCCACGAGGUCUGGGUAGGAAAAUGUUUGAAGGCACAAGUACCACAUUUCGUCUUAUUACAUCUACAAUAAAAAGUAUCAUUUUCUAAGGCACAUGGUCUAAUCAGGUUACCACACUUAGUACUGAAUUAGCAAGGUAAGUUAAACUACUACAGUUUCUGUAGGUAUAUACAUGCUGCAACCUGAGAUAGAAGCAAAGAGUAAAACACACUGCAAAAGGGCACGUAUGCUAUUUAAAUGUAUUAAAAACAGACAACAAAGCCUCUCCUGAAACAUGACAAGACUUAACUUUUUGUGCUUUUAAAAAGAGUAAUUAGAAAAGAGAACAAAGCAGGCUGUUUUCAGAAGCAUCAGAGCUGCUAGCAAAAACCUUUCUCCUCCUAAAACAUAAGAGACAAUGAGGGGAGAAAGGCAGAGGAGGGAGGGGAAGAUGAACUAGACAGGAUGAUACAAGGUAUUCUAGUAAAGAACAUAACAUGUCAGCAGAUAUCUUGGGCUCACUUGUGGAAAGUGUGAUCGCAUUUUUGGCAAUGCAAGUUCCAGCUACCACAGGCUGCGGAUGCCUGGAAAAGGGAAGGCAGUGUUGAAAAGGUUUUGUUUGGGGCUCAUUUGCUGCACCAGGUAGGGACUGUGCUGGUUUGCUUCAAAAGAGGAUGGGGAAACCACCAUCCCCAGAGUAUUUUUUUUUUUU